rnacentral:rRNA from 1 species
CAGUCGCCGUGGUAAUACGUAGGUGGCAAGCGUUGUCCGGAAUUAUUGGGCGUAAAGCGCGCGCAGGCGGAUAGGUCAGUCUGUCUUAAAAGCUCGGGGCUUAACCCCGUGAUGGGAUGGAAACUGCCAAUCUAGAGUAUCGGAGAGGAAGGUGGAAUUCCUAGUGUAGCGGUGAAAUGCGUAGAUAUUAGGAAGAACACCAGUGGCGAAGGCGACUUUCUGGACGAAAACUGACGCUGAGGCGCGAAAGCCAGGGGAGCGAACGGGAUUAGAUACCCCCGUAGUCCCUGUCUCUUAUACA